rnacentral:lncRNA from 1 species
AUCAUCUGAACCCCUCAUCAAAAAAGACGGGAAAAUAUUACCUCUCUUGCUCAACAACUAGAAAAGUCAGUAUUUUCAAAAGAAGAAAGAUCUUAAAGUUGAGAGACUUGUGGACAACUAGGACUGCACUCCACAGGAAAAAAAAAUGGGAUCUUUGCAGUGCAACAACUCUCGUACACUCUUCUGUCUUGCUAAACGUAAACAGAUGCAUUUAAAAUAAAUGCAGUAUUACUAUUAAAACAUGGGACUGUAACAACUCAUGAAGCCACUGGAAGCAGACUGCUCAUUUUCAGGUGUCAAAGAGUUCUUCCUGCCUACUCUUACCAUCGGAGCUGCUCGUCACUGGCAAUCAUUUUAAACAAAAGCUGAUGGAGGACAUUUGCUGUUCCUAUCUUUUGCAAGCAUUACUUGCUAACAUUUUAGCAUGUUUGGGGUCACAAAAGAAAAACUAUUAGUUAUUGGUUACCUACUUGUAUUAGGGUCCAUGCAUUGUUGAGUAUGAAACUACUUGGAAAAUCACUUCACAGAUGGCAGAGAAAUCUCCCAGACCCUUACCCGUCAGCCCAAGCUGGUGGCUCCUGUGUCUCCUCGGUGUGACAACUGACUCUUCCACAGGUAGAGCUUCAAGUGUUUUCUCCACCUCCUCUUUCACCAGCUGCUUCACCCAAGACCCUUAGGACCCUCUUUAAACAAAAUUCUCCCAGUCUUACCCU